GACGAACGCUGGCGGCGUGCUUAACACAUGCAAGUCGAACGGAAAGGCCUGCUUUCCCUUGUGGAUUGCGGGUACUCGAGUGGCGAACGGGUGAGUAACACGUGAGUGAUCUGCCCCCAACUUGGGUUUAAGCCUGGGAAACUGGGUCUAAUUCCCGAUAGGACUGCAGGGUGGUGCCUGUGGUGGAAAACGAUUUUCUAGUGGUUGGGGAUGAGCUCGCGGCCUAUCAGCUUGUUGGUGGGGUAAUGGCCUACCAAGGCGGCGACGGGUAGCCGGCCUGAGAGGGUGGACGGCCACAUUGGGACUGAGAUACGGCCCAGACUCCUACGGGAGGCAGCAGUGGGGAAUAUUGCACAAUGGGCGGAAGCCUGAUGCAGCGACGCCGCGUGGGGAUGACGGCCUUCGGGUUGUAAACUCCUUUCGACCGCGAGGAAGCCACCUGGUUGGAAGGGUGGUGACGGUAGUGGUAGAAGAAGCACCGGCUAACUACGUG
rnacentral:rRNA from 1 species